AUGUUCAAGUUCCUCAAGGACGUGGUCGCGGGAUCCGGAUCGGGCCUCAAGGACUUCCCCUACACCAUCGGCGAGCCCCACGCCUCCGCCUGGGGCUCCUGGACGCACCACCGCGGCGCCUCCAAGGAUGAUGGAUCGCCUGUGUCUAUUUUCUCACUGUCAGGGAGCAACCCUCAGGACAGGCACAUGGUUGCUGGCCGUAAUGGUGUUAAGAGAUUACGAACGGUACGCCAUCCAAAUAUAUUAUCCUUUCUUCACAGUACAGAAGCAGAAGUUCCUGAUGGACCUGCUAUAAAACACACAAUAUAUAUAGUCACAGAGCCAGUUACACCACUUUCUGAAAAGAUCAAAGAGCUGAACCUGGGAGGUACACAGAGAGAUGAGUAUUUUGCUUGGGGUCUUCACCAGAUAUCAAAAGCUGUGAGCUUUCUCAACAAUGAUUGCAAGCUCGUUCAUGGAAAUGUGUGCUUGGCUAGUGUAGUUGUUACUCAAACUCUGGACUGGAAGCUUCAUGCUUUUGAUGUUCUCUCAGAAUUUGAUGCCAAUAACGAAAUCGCUAGUAGCCCUAUGUUGCAAUUUGAAUGGUUAGUUGGAGCACAGUACAAGCCACUGGAGCUGACAAAGUCAGAUUGGGCUUCUAUUAGAAAAUCACCUCCGUGGGCAAUUGAUUCAUGGGGAUUGGGGUGUUUAAUUCAUGAGCUCUUUUCUGGUGGAAAGUUGAGCAGGACAGAGGACCUUCGCAACAUUGCUUCAAUCCCAAAGUCUCUGCUUCCAGAUUACCAGAAGCUCUUAAGUUCUACACCUUCUCGUAGAAUGAAUCCUUCAAAACUUAUUGACAACAGCGAGUUUUUCCAGAACAAGUUGGUAGAGACCAUCCAGUUCAUGGAAGUUCUUAAUUUAAAGGACAGUGUUGAGAAAGAUAGCUUUUUCCGGAAACUCCCAAAUAUAGCAGAACAACUUCCCCGUGAGAUAGUUCUGAAAAAGUUGCUCCCUGUAUUGGCAUCUGCUCUUGAAUUUGGUUCUGCUGCUGCUCCAGCCUUGACUGUUCUGUUAAAGAUGGGUUCCUGGCUUCCAGCUGAUCAGUUUAGUACUAAGGUUUUGCCAACUAUUGUGAAGCUUUUUGCCUCGAAUGACCGAGCUAUCCGAGUUAGUCUUUUGCAGCACAUAGAUCAGUUUGGAGAGUCAUUGGCAUCUCAAACAGUUGAUGAACAAGUUUUUCCUCAUGUUGCCACUGGGUUCUCUGAUACUUCUUCUUUGCUCCGUGAACUGACACUGAAGUCGAUGCUUGUAUUGGCACCAAAAUUAUCUCAGCGUACAAUCUCAGGAUCUCUCUUGAAGUAUCUCUCUAAGCUUCAGGUGGAUGAAGAACCUGCAAUCCGGACAAACACUACAAUUCUUCUUGGGAAUAUUUCAACUUACAUGAAUGAUGGGACUAGGAAACGAGUAUUGAUCAAUGCAUUCACAGUCCGUGCAUUACGUGAUACCUUCCCGCCUGCUCGAGCAGCUGGAAUCAUGGCACUGAGUGUCACUAGUUCAUACUACGAAAUGACAGAGAUUGCAACCCGUAUACUGCCUAACAUUGUUGUCCUUACAUUUGACCCAGACAGUGAUGUGAGGACCAAGGCUUUCCAGGCUACUGACCAAUUCUUGCAAAUAGCAAAACAACAUCAUGAAAAGCUUAACACAGGAGACAACAGGGCAGCCGAAGGUACUGGUGUUCAGUUAAAGCCUGGAAAUGCUAGUUUACUUGGGUGGGCCAUGAGUUCUAUUACUCAGAAGGGAAAACCUUCCGACCAUGGUCCAGUAUCUACUGCAAAUGCCAGUAACUCUCAAGUUUCAGCACCCCCAAGUACCACAUCAGAUACUCACUCUGCCCCAGCAGCAUAUGCCCCAGCAGCCACUUCCAACUCUUUUGAUCAAACUGCACCAGCAUCAGCAAGCUCAUCUAUGGAUGGAUGGGGUGAGCUCGAGAACGGCAACCAGGAAGAGAAUGGUAGUGAUAACGAAGGAUGGGAUGAUGUAGAUCCAUUUGAAGAAAAGUCACCGCCAUCUCUUCUUUCUAACAUACAAGCUGCCCAGAAACGUCCGGUGGUGCAACCGAAGCAACCAAUUCCAAGUUCAUCAAGACCAAAUCAGCCAGCGGCACCAAAAGCAGAGGAGGAUGCUCUAUGGGGCCCUACGGCUGUUCCAGCACUCAAAAUCGCACCGAAGUCUGCAGGCAUCAAACCCUCGGUAUCGCACAAUGAUGAUGAUGAUCUCUGGGGUUCAAUAGCUGCACCUCAGCCGAAAUCAUCUGGGAAGGCUUUGAAACCAGCAGCAGCGAAUAAUGACGACCUAUGGGGUGCCAUUGCAGCACCCCCGCCGGCAACCAAAGCUAGGCCUCUGGCAUCAUCCGGUAGGGGCCGAGGAGCAAAGCCAGCACAACCGAAACUUGGUGCUCAAAGAAUAGGAAGGACCUCCUCAACUGGCAUGUAG
rnacentral:rRNA from 1 species